rnacentral:rRNA from 1 species
UGGAUCUGAUUUAACUUAGUGGCGGACGGGUGAGUAAUGCGUGAGCAACCUGCCCUUCAGAGGGGGACAACAGUUGGAAACGACUGCUAAUACCGCAUAAUGUAUUCGGGAGGCAUCUUCUGGAUACCAAAGGAGAAAUCCGCUGAUGGAUGGGCUCACGUCUGAUUAGCUAGUUGGUGAGGUAACGGCUUACCAAGGCAAUGAUCAGUAGCCGGCCUGAGAGGGUGAACGGCCACAUUGGGACUGAGACACGGCCCAGACUCC